UAGGGAAGUCUUCCACAAUGGGCGAAAGCCUGAUGGAGCAACGCCGCGUGUGUGAUGAAGGGUUUCGGCUCGUAAACACUGUUGUAAGAGAAGAAUGACAUUGAGAGUAACUGUUCAAUGUGUGACGGUAUCUUACCAGAAAGGAACGGCUAAAUACGUGCCAG
rnacentral:rRNA from 1 species